CUGUGAAUACUCUUGCUGUUCUGAUUUCGUAAAAAUCAGGACAGUCUAAAUAUUUGCUAAAAUAAGACCAUGCAUGUGUUCCCAAGCCUACUUCUUUACCUACCUAAGUAUGAUCUUAGAAAUGCUGGUGAUAAAU